ACUCCGUGCCAGCAGCCGCGGUAAUACGGAGGGUCCAAGCGUUAUCCGGAAUCAUUGGGUUUAAAGGGUCCGUAGGCGGGAUAAUAAGUCAGUGGUGAAAGUCUGCAGCUCAACUGUAGAAUUGCCAUUGAUACUGUUGUUCUUGAAUUAUUAUGAAGUGGUUGGAAUGAGUAGUGUAGCGGUGAAAUGCAUAGAUAUUACUCAGAACACCUAUUGCGAAGGCAGAUCACUAAUAAUAUAUUGACGCUGAGGGACGAAAGCGUAGGUAGCGAACAGGAUUAGAUACCCUGGUAGUCUACGCCGUAAACGAUGGUUACUAGCUGUUCGGCUCGAUUGAGAGCUGAGUGGUUAAGCGAAAGUGAUAAGUAACCCACCUGGGGAGUACGUUCGCAAGAAUGAAACUCAAAGGAAUUGACGGGGACCCGCA
rnacentral:rRNA from 1 species